AGGCAAUCACAUGGGUUCUGCCAGGACGGGGAUGGCACAGUGAGCGACGCAUCAUGGGCCAGAUCUGCUUGAAUCUGAACCAGAUCAGUGUCUGCAGGAAAUAAGAACCUGCCUGGAAGCAAGAGAUGAGCUAUAACCAGAAUAAAAGACCAAGCCGCUAAGUCAGUAGACUAAGUCAAUCACAAAAACAACUGAGAUCUAUAAAGUGCUCUAUUCAGGAAUCCUGCAGUGCACAUUGUGACAUUGAUC